CCCCGAAAUAGCUUUAGGGCUAGCGUCGGAAAGAACCUUAGUGAAGGUAGAGCACUGAAUGUGUGAUGGCCCCAUCCCGGGGUACUGAAUACAAUCAAACUGCGAAUGUCAUUAAGGAUGUCCGGCAGUCAGACUGUGAGUGAUAAGGUCCAUGGUCAAGAGGGAAACAGCCCAGACCGCCAGUUAAGGUCCCAAAAUACAGGCUAAGUGGAAAAGGAUGUGGGGAUGCCCAGACAACUAGGAGGUUGGCUCAGAAGCAGCCAUCCUUUAAAGAGUGCGUAACAGCUCACUAGUCGAGUGACCCUGCGCCGAAAAUGUACCGGGGCUAAGCCUGAUACCGAAACUGCGGAUUGUAGGAAACUAUAGUGGUAGGGGAGCGUUGUAUACGAGUAGAAGCCGUACCGUGAGGAGCGGUGGAUUGUAUAGAAGUGAGAAUGCCGGUGUGAGUAGCGAGAUGUAGGUGAGAAUCCUACACACCGAAAGCCCAAGGAUUCCAGGGGAAGGUUCGUCCGCCCUGGGUAAGUCGGGACCUAACGCGAGGCCGAAAGGCGUAGUGGAUGGAAAGCAGGCGAAAGAUUCCUGCACCCGUAUAUGGAGCGAAGGAGUGACGGAGACGGAUAGUGUGACCCUCUUAAUGGAUUGAGGGCGAAGCGAAGCGGCUGGUUACCAGGCAAAUCCGGUAACCAUAAGGCUAGAGCGUGACAGGUAAGCGAAAUCUUAGGAAAGUAGCGAAGCACAUGAUGACGGCUUCCAGGAAAAGCUUCUGGCAAUGCAUAUGCGGCCCGUACCAAAACCGACACAGGUGGGCAGGGAGAGAAUCCCGAGGUGAGCGAGAGAACUGUUGCCAAGGAACUCGGCAAAAUGACUCCGUAAGUUAGCGAGAAGGAGUGCUUAAGCAAUUAAGCCGCAGUGAAGAGGCCCAAGCGACUGUUUAACUAAAACACAGCUCUCUGCGAAGUCGCAAGACGAAGUAUAGGGGGUGACACCUGCCCGGUGCUGGAAGGUUAAGAGGAUCUGUUAAGAGCGAUCUGAAGCAGUGAUCCGAAGCCCCAGUGAACGGCGGCCGUAACUAUAACGGUCCUAAGGUAGCGAAAUUCCUUGUCAGGUAAGUUCUGACCCGCACGAAAGGUGUAACGAUUUGGGCGCUGUCUCGGCAGCAGACUCGGUGAAAUCUUAGUACCUGUGAAAAUGCAGGUUACCCGCAACUAGACGGAAAGACCCCAUGGAGCUUUACUGCAGCCUGAUAUUGAAUUCUGGUCAUACAUGUACAGGAUAGGUGGGAGACAAAGAGACGUGCACGCCAGUGUACGAGGAGUCGACGUUGGGAUACCACUCUUGUGUGACCGGGGUUCUAACCUGGUAUCGAGAACAGGUACGGGGAGAGUGUCAGGUGGGCAGUUUGACUGGGGCGGUCGCCUCCCAAAGAGUAACGGAGGCGCCCAAAGGUACGCUCAGAUUGGAUGGAAACCAAUCGUCGAGUGCAAUUGCAGAAGCGUGCUUGACUGUGAGACUUACAAGUCGAACAGGGACGAAAGUCGGGAAUAGUGAUCCGGCGGUGCCGAAUGGAAGGGCCGUCGCUCAACGGAUAA
rnacentral:rRNA from 1 species